AACCAUAUUGUCUAGUGGUUAGGAUACCUGGCUCUCACCCAGGAGGCCCGGGUUCAAUUCCCGGUAUGGGAA
rnacentral:tRNA from 1 species